UGUUCUGAGGGUUUGAUCCUAGCUCAGGACGAACGCUGGCGGUGUGCCUAAGACAUGCAAGUCGAGCGACGAAACUGAUUCUUUUCUUAGCAAUAGGAGAAGAGUUGGUGGAAAGCGGCAAACGGGUGAGUAAUACCUGGAUAAUCUGCCUUUUAGUGGGGGAUAACUCUGCGAAAGCGGGGCUAAUACCGCAUAAAACUCUUUUUCGCAAGGAAAGGAGCCAAAGGUUUUCGGAGCAAUCCGAAAGAUCACUGAAAGAUGAGUCCGGGUCCCAUCAGCUAGUUGGCGGGGUAACGGCCCACCAAGGCUAUGACGGGUAGCUGGUCUGAGAGGAUGGUCAGCCACACUGGGAUUGAGAUACGGCCCAGACUCCUACGGGAGGCAGCAGUCGGGAAUAUUGGACAAUGCCCUAACGGGUGAUCCAGCGACACCGCGUGGAGGAUGAAGGUCUUCGGAUCGUAAACUCCUGUCGGGUGGGACGAAGUUUCGACGCAAGUCGGAAUUGACGGUACCACCGGAGGAAGUCCCGGCUAAUUCCGUGCCAGCAGCCGCGGUAAGACGGAAGGGGCAAGCGUUGUCCGGAUUGACUGGGUGUAAAGGGCGUGUAGGUGGUUUGACGGGUCCAGCAUUAAAUACCCCGGCCUAACCGGGGAAGUGUGCUGGAAACUAUCAAGACUUGAGUCUGAAAAAGGAGAGCGGAACUCUUGGUGUAACGGUGAAAUGUGUAGAUAUCAGGAGGAACACCGGUGGCGAAGGCGGCUCUCUAGUUCAAGACUGACACUGAGGCGCGAAAGCCGGGGGAGCAAACAGGAUUAGAUACCCUGGUAGUCCCGGCCCUAAACGAUGGGUGUUAGGCAUUAGCCUUUCGGGGUUAGUGUCGUAGCUAACGCGUUAAACACCCCACCUGGGAAGUACGGUCGCAAGGCUGAAACUCAAAGGAAUUG
rnacentral:rRNA from 1 species